CAGAGUAUCACCAGAACUCCAGCAUGGCUCUCUCUAAGACUCAGCAGACAUUUAUGGAUGUAGCUAUUCCAUCUCUCAAAAGAGGAGUAAUUUCAUUCAAUGAACUUGCAUGCAAACUCCUCGUUACCAAUGUCUCAUACAUUCUUAAAACUCAAGUCAUGUUUGAAGAACUCCGUAAUAUAAUAGAGGCAUCUCAGAAAAGCAUCGGGCAGUCAGAGAGGGCAGCUAGCAGUGAACUGUACAAGAUAGACACACAUUAUGAGGAACUCACAGUCCAAAAGGGAGUCCUUGAA